rnacentral:rRNA from 1 species
CCUACGGGUGGCAGCAGUGAGGAAUAUUGGUCAAUGGACGAGAGUCUGAACCAGCCAAGUAGCGUGAAGGAUGACUGCCCUAUGGGUUGUAAACUUCUUUUAUAUGGGAAUAAAACGUUCCACGUGUGGGAUUUUGUAUGUACCAUAUGAAUAAGGAUCGGCUAACUCCGUGCCAGCAGCCGCGGUAAUACGGAGGAUCCGAGCGUUAUCCGGAUUUAUUGGGUUUAAAGGGAGCGUAGGUGGAUUGUUAAGUCAGUUGUGAAAGUUUGCGGCUCAACCGUAAAAUUGCAGUUGAAACUGGCAGUCUUGAGUACAGUAGAGGUAGGCGGAAUUCGUGGUGUAGCGGUGAAAUGCUUAGAUAUCACGAAGAACUCCGAUUGCGAAGGCAGUUCACUGAACUGCAACUGACACUGAGGCUCGAAAGUGUGGGUAUCAAACAGGAUUAGAUACCCGUGUAGUC